rnacentral:rRNA from 1 species
AACGAACGCUGGCGGCGCGUUUUAAGCACGCAAGUCGAACGGUAGUAUGGCUUCGGUCAUAUGAGAGUGGCGAACGGGUGAGUAACACGUAGGUGAUCUACCACGAGGUUGGGGAUAGCCCAUGGAAACAUGGGGUAAUACCGAAUGAGUUCUUAUUACUAUGGUGAUGAGAGGAAAGGGGCUUUGGCCUCGCCUUGUGAUGAGCCUGCGGCUGAUUAGGUAGUUGGUGGGGUAACGGCCUACCAAGCCGACGAUCAGUAGCCGGCCUGAGAGGGUGACCGGCCACACUGGGACUGAGAUACGGCCCAG